rnacentral:hammerhead_ribozyme from 1 species
GUUCAUAUGACGAGUCUCAGAUAGGACGAAACGCGUGUCAAACUGGAU